CGUAAAGCGCGCGCAGGCGGUCCUUUAAGUCUGAUGUGAAAGCCCACGGCUCAACCGUGGAGGGUCAUUGGAAACUGGGGGACUUGAGUGCAGAAGAGGAGAGUGGAAUUCCACGUGUAGCGGUGAAAUGCGUAGAGAUGUGGAGGAACACCAGUGGCGAAGGCGACUCUCUGGUCUGUAACUGACGCUGAGGCGCGAAAGCGUGGGGAGCGAACAGGAUUAGAUACCCUGUAGUCCACGCCGUAAACGAUGAGUGCUAAGUGUUAGAGGGUUUCCGCCCUUUAGUGCUGCAGCAAACGCAUUAAGCACUCCGCCUGGGGAGUACGGCCGCAAGGCUGAAACUCAAAGGAAUUGACGGGGGCCCGCACAAGCGGUGGAGCAUGUGGUUUAAUUCGAAGCAACGCGAAGAACCUUACCAGGUCUUGACAUCCUCUGACACCUCUGGAGACAGAGCUUUCCCCUUCGGGGGACAGAGUGACAGGUGGUGCAUGGUUGUCGUCAGCUCGUGUCGUGAGAUGUUGGGUUAAGUCCCGCAACGAGCGCAACCCUUGUCCUUAGUUGCCAGCAUUCAGUUGGGCACUCUAAGGAGACUGCCGGUGACAAACCGGAGGAAGGUGGGGAUGACGUCAAAUCAUCAUGCCCCUUAUGACCUGGGCUACACACGUGCUACAAUGGAUAGAACAAAGGGCAGCGAAGCCGCGAGGUCAAGCAAAUCCCAUAAAUCUAUUCUCAGUUCGGAUUGCAGGCUGCAACUCGCCUGCAUGAAGCCGGCA
rnacentral:rRNA from 1 species